GUUUAUUUAGUGGAUCAUUGCCAAAGCUAAAGGGAAAACUAGUCGAGCUCACAUUAUCAAAAUGAUUAUAGCAGAACUGUUUUAUACCAUUUGGUUAGAGAGGAACUCGAGGUUGUUUAAGAAUGUCUCUUGUUCUAGUGAUCAAUUACUUAGGACAAUUGCAUAUGUUUGUAAUGUUAGGAGUCCCCCUAAAGUUAGCCUACAGCUUCAGCAUUCUCUACUGUAAAUAGAAGUAUAAGUACAGUAUCAGUAGAUGGCGAUUAAGUUUUCUUUUUGAUAGUCAGCUGUGUUUAGCUGCACUAUGGAUUUGUAAAGAACCCUUUUUGGUGAUUAA
rnacentral:lncRNA from 1 species